AUCUUUCUAACUGAUCGAUCCAUACUCACUUGCGUGCACCUAGCCUAGGAAGGUUUCCUUGGGCUUCCCAUCUUUCUACUGAUCGAUCCAUACUCACUUGCGUGCACCUAGCCUAGGAAGGUUUCCUUGGGCUUCCCAUCUUUCUACUGAUCGAUCCAUACUCACUUGCGUGCACCUAGCCUAGGAAGGUUUCCUUGGGCUUCCCAUCUUUCUACUGAUCGAUCCAUACUCACUUGCGUGCACCUAGCCUAGGAAGGUUUCCUUGGGCUUCCCAUCUUUCUACUGAUCGAUCCAUACUCACUUGCGUGCACCUAGCCUAGGAAGGUUUCCUUGGGCUUCCCAUCUUUCUACUGAUCGAUCCAUACUCACUUGCGUGCACCUAGCCUAGGAAGGGUUUCCCUUUGGUACCGACUUCCAUCUACGCACUCGAUAUAACCUAGGUACUUGGUACCGAUGAUGGUUAUACACUCAAGCAUUUCUUGCAUCCAGCGUGCAAGGUACCAAUUUUCACUUCUUAGGUACGUUUAUGGGCCCGCAUUUAUCCAAUAUCGCUCCGAUGGCCUUUCGCAUUAUUUCAUCCGAUAGCCCUUGCCAAAAGCUACCAAAAGUUCCUCCACGGCCAUGUGCUCCGACGCUUAGUUUAGGAAAUAUUCGAAAAAAUUCAAAAUAGGAAGCAUUUUCUUAUUGGAAAAUCACCUUAAAUCGAUGGCCAUUUUUGGGCAAAAACUUUAACGUCUUCCCGACUUUGCGGGAAUUGCGAAUUUUAGGCACCCAGAGAAAAUCUUUUACUUUAAGGGGGCGGCCGCGAAGUUGCCCAAAGUCUCGGACACAAAAAUUCUCAAGUUCCCCACUCUAGUAAAUCGCCCUAUGAGUAUCUCCUGGCCCGCGAGCUCUGCGAGCGGGCCAGCUUCGGCGAUUUUCUGCCUUUUCGCCUAGGCGGUUCAUCUACG